rnacentral:rRNA from 1 species
CGCUGUUUAUCAAAAACAUGUCUUUUUGGUAUUUAAUAUAAAGUCUAACCUGCCCACUGAAUUUUGUUUAAAGGGCCGCAGUAUUUUGACUGUGCAAAGGUAGCAUAAUCAUUAGUCUUUUAAUUGAAGGCUGGUAUGAAUGGUUGGACGAGAUACAAGCUGUGUCAUAAAAGUUAAAAUUUGAAUUUAUCUUUUUAGUUAAAAGACUAAAAUAAAAUUAAAAGACGAGAAGACCCUAUAGAGCUUUAUAUAAUUAAUAUUUAAAUUAUUAAGAUUUUUAAAUUAAAAUAUUAUUUUAUAUUUUGUUGGGGUGACAAUAAAAUUUAUAAAACUUUUAUUUUUAUUACACAUUAAUUUAUGAAUAAAUGAUCCAGUUUUAUUGAUUAUAAAUUUAAGUUACCUUAGGGAUAACAGCGUAAUUUUUUUUGAGAGUUCUUAUCGACAAAAAAGAUUGCGACCUCGAUGUUGGAUUAAGAGUAAUUUUGGGUGUAGAAGUUCAAAGUUUAAGUCUGUUCGACUUUUAAAUUCUUACAUGAUCUGAGUUCAAACCGGAG